AGAUACCCUAUUAUAAAAAUUUAAAUUAAUUUACUAAAAAAUUAAUAGUUAUGUUCUUUAAAUUUAAAAAAUUUGGCGGUAUUUUAGUCUUAUUAGAGGAAUCUGUUUAUUAAUUGAUAAUCCACGAUUAAUUUUACUUAUUUUAAUUAAUUCAUAUAUCGCUGUCAUGAAUAUAUUUUAAAAAAUUUAUUUUCUUUAAUUAUUUUAAUAAUUUAUGUUAAGUCAAGAUGUGGUUUAUAAAUAAGAAUAUAAUGGAUUACAUUAAAUUUUAUUUUUGGAUUUUGAAUGAAAAUUAAAAUGAAAUUG
rnacentral:rRNA from 1 species